AGUGUGGGAGCGAUAAAGGUGUUUGGAUCAGGCACCCGGCUCUAUGUUACAGGUAUGAAACAUAAAAGUUGUGUUAAUAGAUAAAGUAGUCUGGACAACGUUUAGUUAGGCAUUGUUAAAAUUGGCUGUGGCUAUAUGUUUUUAAAUGGGGGGAAUAAUGAUGGUAAUGGCCAAAAGUGCACUUUACUUAGUAUCACACAGAUUGUUUGUCUUGAGUUUGUAGCAGCUAGCCUCUCAUUUGUAUCAUAUUAAAACACACUAUUGGUUGAACAAAUGGCGAAUAGCCACAAAACAACAUUUCAGGUUUUGGCAACAACAACGAUAUUUAAUUUGGGAAAACAAUCAAAUACUGAAUAUGCUAUAAAGAUGACUGAGUUAUUGUGGUUGAGUGCUUCACUGUGGGGAACGUAAAAGUCUUUGGAUCAGGCACAAGACUUUAUGUGUCAGGUGAGAAACAUAUAGAAAUCACAUUGACCAAAUGAUACCAGGACAAAUGUGACAGGAGCUUUUUUAUUUGUUUUAUUUGAAAAUUUGAUCAUGGAUAAAUAUUCAAGAGACACAAGAUAGUUAACCCAAUGCACAGCGGUAUUUGUAUUUCAUUUAAUGACUGUGUACCUCUGGGUAUAUUAAACGUUUUGGGCCAGGAACCAGACUGUUUGUCACUGAUGAUGCUGUGCGUCAACCUACGGUGAGCGUCUACUCCAGCACCAAAUCUCAAAAAGAGAACACCUUUCUGUGCCAUGCCAGUAAUAUGUUCCCAGACUUGGUCAGAUUCCACUGGAAAGUGUUCAAAGCUGGAAAGUGGGAAAACGUGGUGAAGAAUGACCGCGAGGUGCUGGAGACCAGCUUCUCAGACAAGACAAACACCAGCAUCAUGAUUAUUGACAAGCAGAAGGCCGGUGGCAACCGAUACGCCUGCUCCUACACACACGAAGCCCUCAGGGAAGGAAAAGAGAGCAAGCCUCUGGAGAUAGAGGGAAAGAAAGGAGGACAAACUGAGCCGGUGACAAAACCUCAAGCAAAAACCUUCAAUGUCACAGUCUGCUCAACACCCAACGACACAGCUAUCUCCACGUUACACCAACUAGAUGAGUACUUUGGAGCCGCACGCAGUCUGUAUCUGGCAACAUGGGUGUACACCCUUAUGAUUUUUAAAAGCACGGUGUACUUCUGCGCCAUCUCCUACUUCAUAUGCACAAAGAACAUGAGAAGCAAGCGCUCCCUCAACCGUAGAGCUCCCUGAUACAGCGUGCUGUGGAGCUGAGUGAUGUGCUUAUUCUACAUGCCAUUCUUUGUGACGCUUGUGCCAGGUCAAACUUGGGCGCCGAUCUUUAUCUGAUUCUCCCUUUUCAGCAAAUACUAUUUUCAAAAUGUCUCAAUACAUAUCAGUAUCUAUGCACAUUAUUUCCUCUUUAUUUUCCACCUAUGUUUUUUUUUUUUUUUGUUAUGCUUGAUUACUUUGUUAUGUUUUAAGAUGCACAUAGCAUGAUUUUGUCCUGCUGUAUUUUAUUACUGUCUUAUCUAUAACUUAACAUAUACUGUGUAUUUUCCAUGGCAACUUCUAUUUCAAUUUCCCAAUCAUAGUUUUUUAGAAACAAAUUAUUCUUGUGCUAUGUACUUUUAUUACCAUAGCAAAUAAAGAUUAGGCAAUAUAAGAUUACAUUAAACUGGUUUACAAAUUAUACAAAUUAUUUAAUCACCUGGGUAUAACUAGUAUGUAAUUGUAAUGUAAAUUAUAAAAUGCUGAGUUAUUCAUUCAGACGAUCAUAGGUAAUGUGUUUCAACAAACAGCACAUUUUCAAUACUUGACAUUGCUAAUUUCCUUUAAUAUAAUUAUGAAAGAAACAUUGGUUAUUAAGAACUUGAUAUCAGGACAUUUGUUAAAAAUACUGCAGGUAUUUAAUUAUAUAAAAAAAAAAUGUAGACUGCAGUAUUACAACUUUGACUGUUGAAAUGGAUUGUGGGUACUGUGUUUUGAAUAAAUAAAUAAAUAUAUAUUUGUAUGCGUACUUCCAAAUAAAUAUUUCUUUAAAGACCA
ensembl:lncRNA